ANGCAGUCGACGAUGNACCACUUCGGUGGGGAUUAGUGGCGAACGGGUGAGUAACACGUGGGCAAUCUGCCCUGCACUCUGGGACAAGCCCUGGAAACGGGGUCUAAUACCGGAUACUGACCCGCUUGGGCAUCCAAGCGGUUCGAAAGCUCCGGCGGUGCAGGAUGAGCCCGCGGCCUAUCAGCUUGUUGGUGAGGUAGUGGCUCACCAAGGCGACGACGGGUAGCCGGCCUGAGAGGGCGACCGGCCACACUGGGACUGAGACACGGCCCAGACUCCUACGGGAGGCAGCAGUGGGGAAUAUUGCACAAUGGGCGAAAGCCUGAUGCAGCGACGCCGCGUGAGGGAUGACGGCCUUCGGGUUGUAAACCUCUUUCAGCAGGGAAGAAGCGAAAGUGACGGUACCUGCAGAAGAAGCGCCGGCUAACUACGUGCCAGCAGCCGCGGUAAUACGUAGGGCGCGAGCGUUGUCCGGAAUUAUUGGGCGUAAAGAGCUCGUAGGCGGCUUGUCACGUCGGUUGUGAAAGCCCGGGGCUUAACCCCGGGUCUGCAGUCGAUACGGGCAGGCUAGAGUUCGGUAGGGGAGAUCGGAAUUCCUGGUGUAGCGGUGAAAUGCGCAGAUAUCANGAGGAACACCGGUGGCGAAGGCGGAUCUCUGGGCCGAUACUGACGCUGAGGAGCGAAAGCGUGGGGAGCGAACAGGAUUAGAUACCCUGGUAGUCCACGCCGUAAACGGUGGGCACUAGGUGUGGGCGACAUUCCACGUCGUCCGUGCCGCANNUAACGCAUUAAGUGCCCCGCCUGGGGAGUACGGCCGCAAGGCUAAAANUCANNGGAAUUGACGGNNGCCCGCACAAGCGGCGGAGCAUGUGGCUUAAUUCGACGCAACGCGAANAACCUUACCAAGGCUUGACAUACACCGGAAAGCAUUAGAGAUAGUGCCCCCCUUGUGGUCNGUGUACAGGUGGUGCAUGGCUNUCGUCAGCUCGUGUCGUGANNU
rnacentral:rRNA from 1 species